rnacentral:tRNA from 3 species
GCCGGUGUGGCGGAAUGGCAGACGCGGAGCACUCAAAAUGCUUUGUCGAAAGACGUGUGGGUUCGAGUCCCACCACCGGUACCG